GGUGGCUUAGAGGUAGAGUGCUUGCCUUGCAUGCAUGAGGCUCUGGGUUCAAUUCCUCAGCACCA
rnacentral:tRNA from 1 species